rnacentral:lncRNA from 1 species
UGGACUUUAUUUAAAGAACUAUGGAUCCUACCUAAGACAUUUAUAAAAUCCAGUUGAUGUUAGGAUUCCACCACGAGCUAAUUUACUGCAAGUCGAGAGGUAUUCAGAAUACAUUUCUGCUCGAGAAACAGAACAAUCUGGAUUUACUUCAAAAUAACAAAUAUAAAAACUAUGUUCACAUCCCAAUGAGAGCAGGGUUGGUCUGCUGACAACAAAUAUUCUAUAAGAAAUAGUUUUAUUUAGUGAAUAUCUAUUCGGCAUCCUGUCUUGUAAUAAUCAUAACAUAAAACAAGUUCCCAAUUACGUGCUAUUUGCAUUGUAGCUGAAGAAAAUGGGGGGAAACUGAACUAAGGUUAAACUUUUCUUGGCUCUUGGAUCAAAUUCCUUCAGAAAAAACUUAUCCAAGCUUUUCAGGUACUUCUUUUUAAAACUCUUCAUUUGCUUUUUUUCAGAAAGUGGUGCAGAUAGGACUACACAAUCUUUUCAAGGAAAUAUUAUUGUCAAGCUGCUUAUUUCUGUUCUAUCAUUUGAUUAAUGUCCGUCUACUAUUACACACCCAAAAAUUAUUAAUGAAUAAGAAGUUUUGUUUUAGAUGGAAGAGAAGAGACAUUUUAAAACACCUGCUUUUAUUUUCUUAAGGUCAGUCCAAUUCAGUUUUAACAAAAUGUUAAUUUUAGAAGAACAAAUUUUGUAACCUGACAAACUGUACUUUCUACAAAGUGAAAGAUAACUUUUUAACACAAAUUUUACUCUGAAAAAAGUUAAAUGGUGUAAUUUAAUGACAUUCUAGUCAUACUAUUUUAAUUCUGAAAAUUCUGAUGAAUAUUUUUCUUUCAAAUUAUUCCAAUAUACAAGGGGAUU